rnacentral:rRNA from 1 species
UACAGAGGUCUCAAGCGUUGUUCGGAUUCAUUGGGCGUAAAGGGUGCGUAGGCGGCGCGGUAAGUCGGGUGUGAAAACUCGGGGCUCAACCCCGGGCGUGCAUCCGAUACUGCCGGGCUUGAGGCAGGUAGGGGAGAUCGGAAUUCCUGGUGUAGCGGUGAAAUGCGCAGAUAUCAGGAGGAACACCGGUGGCGAAGGCGGAUCUCUGGGCCUGUCCUGACGCUGAGGCGCGAAAGCUAGGGGAGCGAACAGG